UCAUCUUCCCUAUCCCAACUCUUAAGCCUCAUCUUCACCGAUUGCGAUAGUAACUCUGCUAUUGCUUCCUCCUCUUCAUCAAUCAAUGAUGCUAUUAAAUCUCAUCUUUAUUGUUUCGUUAUACCUUCCUCUCCUUCUCCUCAUGUAUAAAAUCUAUCAUAUCUUUGUAGAAAUUACUUUGAACCAAAUUCAGAAACCUUCUUUCAAGAAUCUCAAGCUAUGGCGAUUGUUAGCUCUUUACCUUUGUGAGUUUACAACUGCUGCAGUAUUUUUUGAGAUCUGAAUGGAAGAUUUUCGCGCCACUUUGAAGGAGCACCCCCAAGAACGAAUAUGUUUUCUUGUACUAGCGCAAGGUCGUACUCUCGGAUCUCUGGCCUAUCUGCCUAACGCAAAGCUUGGAUCUGUAUUGCAGUUGGUGUAUAUGAUGAUGGGAAUUUUAUUCUUAAGCUUAAGGUUGGAAUGAAAAAUGUCUGCAUAGACCUUGGUUUUGAGGACCAACCAGACACUGUCACAUUCUUUGAAGGUUAUCAAGAUAUCAGUAGGAGAGGCAUCACGCACAGGACAGCUAUGAAUCUGAAGUUUGGCACUAUAAUAUAGGAGUUGCGAAGAGGAUCGGCGACGGCUCCACCGAUUGAGAUGCUCCGUGACGGAUUACGCUUGGGGCAAAAUUGGGUCGGAUUCACUCGUGUACAGAGUCUACGCGGUGAAUUCCGAUGAACAGAUCGAUUCGACAAGACCGUACGCGGAGCUUUGGAUGGGGACUCACGAGUCAGGUCCGAGUUACUUGGAGGAUGAUGCUGAUGGCGUCACGCUUAGAUCGUGGAUUGCUGAAAACCCUGAGGCUCUUGGAGAUAGGGUUUUGGAUAAAUGGGGUUGCGAUCUCUCGUUUCUCUUCAAGCAAUGAAGUCAUGGUUCGCCAUGAACUUGGACAACGUCAGGAGUCACUCUUGAGAUUCAGAUAUUUGGGGAUUUCAAAUGGUUUAAUGCUUCUUAUGUUCCUGUCUUCGAGGGGCUACAAGAAUCUGAUAAGCAUAUCUAUUAUUUCUCUUCACACAACGAUAAUGGACGAAAAAGCAAAUUCAAAAACCCCAAAUAUCUCAUGAAGUGUAAUAUUCUUCAUUCCCAGCUUAGAGAUCUCUGACAUAUUUUGAUAUUUGAACUUCUAGGCAUUUCACAGACGGCUAUGAGUGAUGUUCUUCGUGAGUAUGUGGAAUCACACGUGUGGAAAAAGAGGCCAGAUUGCCAGAUUAAAAGUUGAUGCAGCUGCGAACCAACAAGAAAAAUAAACAAAGGUUAGCCAGAAAAUGAACUGGCAGCAUUGAAGAGGCAGCUCAUGUCCCCAAUGUCUACCACAGUUACAUCAAAUGAUGGUACAAGGAAAUUGGGGUUUGUGAGCCGGUUACAGGGAAUGUGCAAGGUACUGAGCUUCCUGAACAGUGUGAUGAUGAUCUGUUGGAGAAGACAAAGUAGAGAUCGCUCAUAAAGAAGUCCAUGAUGCUGUGUCUGGAGGACAUGCCAGAAAUAGAGAGGAAGCCGGUAAAGAAGCUAAAGAAGGCAUUGAAAAUGGGAACCAAGGCUUUGGGUGUGCUAGAGAGGACAAAUAGACACAAACUAGCUCAGUGAGUAAAUCAUGUUGACUAAUUACUUGUGAUACAGUUUGGAAUUAUAAUAUGCAGAACAUGAUCGUAUUAUUAUCGUGAGAUAUUAUGUACUUCUGUUUUUUCUCAAUUCCACAAUGUUAAUUUA